rnacentral:rRNA from 1 species
UUAAGCUACAAAGAGCGUAGGGUGAAUAGCUAGGCACCAAGAGCCGAAGAAGGACGUGAUAAGCUGCGAAAAGCUUUGGGUAGGAGCAAAUAUCCAUUAAUCCAGAGAUAUCCGAAUGAGGGAACUCACUUAGAGCAAACAAUCUAAGUAUCCAUAUAUGAGUAAAGUAGUAUAUGAGAAGGGAACGUGGGGAACUGAAACAUCUUAGUACCCACAGGAAAAGAAAGAGAAAUCGAUUCCUAGAGUAGUGGCGAGCGAAAUAGGAAGAGCCUAAACCAUGAGUAGUAAUACACAUGGGGUUCGGACCACGAUAUAUUAUCAAUAAUUCUAAUAGAAAUGUUUUGGAAAAGCAUACCAUAGACGGUGAAAGUCCAGUAUAUGAAAGAAAAGUUGAGAUUAGUGGUAUCCAGAGUAGUACGAGACACGAGAAAUCUCGUAUGAAUAAGCGGGGACCAUCCCGUAAGGCUAAAUACUACUUGGUGACCGAUAGUGAACUAGUACCGUGAGGGAAAGGUGAAAAGAACCCCGGGAGGGGAGUGAAAUAGAACAUGAAACCCUAUGUUUACAAGCAGACAAAGCACUUUAUAUGUGCGAUGUCGUACUUUUUGUAGAACGGUCCAGCGAGUUAUUGUGUAUGGCGAGGUUAAGUAUUACGUAAGGUACGGAGCCGAAGCGAAAGCGAGUCUGAAAAGGGCGAUAUAAGUCAUGCAUAAUAGACCCGAAACUGAGUGACCUAUCCAUGAGCAGGAUGAAGCUAGAGUAAAAUCUAGUGGAGGUCCGAACUGAUUGUCGUUAAAAAGGCACCGGAUGACUUGUGGAUAGCGGAGAAAUUCCAAUCGAACUCAGAGAUAGCUGGUUCUCCUCGAAAUAGCUUUAGGGCUAGCCUUGAGGGAAUGCAUAUGGGGGUAGAGCACUGAAUGAGGUAGGGGCCUAACCAGGUUACCAAACUCUAUCAAACUCCGAAUACCAUAUGUAAAUACUCAGGAGUCAGACUGCGGGAGCUAAGUUCCGUGGUCAAAAGGAAAACAGUCCAGAUCGUCAAUUAAGGUCCCAAAGAUAUAGCUAAGUGGAAAACGAUGUGAUUUUGCAUAAACAACCAGGAUGUUGGCUCAGAAGCAGCCAUUCAUUCAAAGAGUGCGUAAUAGCUCACUGGUCGAGUGAAGUUGCGCGGAAAAUUACCGGGGCUAAGCUAUACACCGAAAUUGCGGAUUUACAUUUGAAAGACAAUGUAAGUGGUAGAGGAGCAUUCUGUAGUAGGAAGAAGCAUGACCGUAAGGACAUGUGGACGAAGCAGAAGAGAGAAUGCUGGAAUAAGUAGCGAGAGGAUGGUGAGAAUCCAUCCCGUCGAAAAUCUAAGGUUUCCCAGGGAAGGUUCGUCCGCCUGGGGUAAGUCGGGACCUAAGGAGAGGCCGAAAGGCGUAUCUGAUGGAUAGCAGGUUGAAAUUCCUGCACUACGAAUAUACUUAAAAGAUUCAAGGGACGCAGAAGUGGAAGAUAACCAAGUAAGAGGAAAAGCUUGGCUCGCAAGAGGGAGUGAAAAUUAAAAGUAACGAAGUAUCAAGAAGCACGCUGACGAGAAAAGCUUGAAGAUAUUGUAUAUAAGUACCCGUACCGCAAACCGACACAGGUAGAUGAGGAGAGGAUCCUAAGACGAGCGGGAGAAGCAUUGUUAAGGAACUCGGCAAAUUGACCCCGUAACUUCGGAAUAAGGGGUGCCUAUGUAAAAGUAGGCCGCAGAGAAUAGGCCCAAGCAACUGUUUAACAAAAACACAGGUUUCUGCUAAAUCGAAAGAUGAAGUAUAGGAGCUGACGCCUGCCCAGUGCUGGAAGGUUAAGGGAAAGAGUUAGGGUUAAACCGAAGCUUAGAACUGAAGCCCCAGUGAACGGCGGCCGUAACUAUAACGGUCCUAAGGUAGCGAAAUUCCUUGUCAGGUAAGUUCUGACCCG